rnacentral:rRNA from 1 species
GGAUGCAAUCGUCUGAUAAUAAACUCUGCUAAAAUGGAAGUCAUCGACACAAUGAAGAAUUGAGGACAAUCUGCGGGAGCGGCGGCAGCUGUUUUUGGUGACUGCUAUUUUUUGGCUUGUGAUUUUCCUCUCACUAAUUUUGAACACUGUAAUAGGGAAGGGAACAAGGUUGCUCAUGAACUGGCUAGGUUAGCGAGAGUUUCCACAACAAAUGAGUGGUUUGAAAAGCCUAUGGGUGAUAUUGUAACUUUUCUUAUAGACGAUGUAACUGUUAUUUCAAAUGAAUAA